ensembl:lncRNA
UAAAACUGUACAUAAAUAGAUUGAACGAUAAAAACAAGCAUCAGAAUUUGUGACAGGGCAAAACGUAUUCUUCUGCUUCUUCUGCAGAGAACAUCAUUUGGCAUUCUGACGUCCAUCUUGUUCUGCAGGCCUUCGUUGGCAUCUUAAAUAAACCCUAUUUCACGCAACUCCCGGGGGGAGUUCUGCCGGACAGCGUUACGGCCAACGUUACUGAUGUUUGUGCUUGUUAACUUCAAUGAUAACAGUCUUUAAAAGAAAGGAUUUUUAAUUUUGACUGUUUUUGUUCGCUCUACUGGCCGGGAAUCGAUGUUUCUGGUUUCAUGCUGACCGAGGCUCAACCCACACCCAAGAGGAAAACAUAAUUGGCGGUUGAUGUAAGGGCCGCACACAAUUCCCAUAUCUUUGCAGCGGUUUGGGAGUUUGCUUUGCUGGCUGAUGGACAGCGCGUGGGCUGAUAGUCCGGCCGGGGUCAGAAGCAUUGUCCAUCACAGAGUCUAAACGGAGAGACCAUGGAGCCACUUAUGUGUUGGCAUACUGCAGAUUGCUAGCCAACUUUGAAUUUAAUCAACAAGGAAUCCAAAUGGUCCAGAGGUGAAAGGUGCAAAACCCGGAAAUGCGACACAAUCUUCCAGAUCGAGAAAAACCCAGGUGGACGGCCGAGCGUUCCCUCUCCACCUGAAACUCCCUCACUGGAAAAGUGCAGCGUCAACACAUUGAGAUGCCAAGACUUUUCAUUCUUCAUCUAAAAUGAAAUUGCACGGAGUGAUUAAGCUAAUACCACUUAAGUUGUUUUAAAAAUUUACAUCUAUUCACGGUUGACUUCAGGUGGUAGAAAGAAGGGCCUCCACACAUGCAUGUGUAUUCCUUUAUAUAUAUAUAUUUUUCAAAUGUACAACAUCAGCCCUCUCUCUAUAACAUAGAAUGUAUAUAACCCAUGCCUCCGUGCAACAGGGGAAAGUGGGUGUCUCUGUGGUCUCCGUCUCUGCCCUCUGUGUCUCCUGUGGGCCAAUUCCCAGUGACAUUCUGCCAAACCCCAAGGUAGCAAGCCAUGAAAAUGAGUGUGUUGCCCUGUGGGUUUAAAAAAAGACAUGUUUUGAUCCAUCCUCUUCGACUAUUCCUUCCCAUGCUUGUUCUCCUAUCUACAGAAUUAGUUCUGUGGGGUAGAGUGGAAAUUAAAGUUCAAUCACUUAGGUUUUCUGCUACCUUACCAUUAUUGCUACCAAAAGGGCUGCAAAUUAAGAUUCUCCUUGUCUCUCUGCAACCACUUGGAGACUGAAAAUUGUGUCACAGGGGACAUGAUGCAGUAAUUUGUGGCGUACAUAAAUAUGAUACAUUAUACAUAGAGAAGCUUUGUGUAUUCAUUUUUCCCAUCGGCUCUCU